GCCCUGACUGCUAUCGGAUUGAUACUAAGCCAUGCGAGUCAUUGUAGUAAUACAAGGCAGACGGCUCAGUAACGCGUAGUCACCUAACCUAUGGACGGGAAUAACCUCGGGAAACUGAGUAUAAUGCCCGAUAGAACAUUAUGCCUGGAAUGGCUUAUGUUCCAAAUGAUUUAUCGCCGUAGGAUGGGACUGCGGCCUAUCAGUUUGUUGGUGAGGUAAUGGCCCACCAAGACUAUUACAGGUACGGGCUCUGAGAGGAGUAGCCCGGAGAUGGGUACUGAGACACGGACCCAGGCCCUAUGGGGCGCAGCAGGCGAGAAAACUUUGCAAUGUGCGAAAGCACGACAAGGCUAAUCCGAGUGGUUUCUGCUAAAGGAACCUUUUGUCGGUCCUAGAAACACUGAUGAAUAAGGGGUGGGCAAGUUCUGGUGUCAGCCGCCGCGGUAAAGCCAGCACCUCAAGUGGUCAGGAUGAUUAUUGGGCCUAAAGCAUCCGUAGCCGGCUCUAUUAGUUUUCGGUUAAAUCUGUACGCUUAACGUACAGGCUGCCGGGAAUACUGUAGAGCUAGGGAGUGGGAGAGGUAGACGGUACUCGUAGGAAGGGG
rnacentral:rRNA from 1 species